GUCCUAUUAGAAUCUUUGUUCUUCAUAAUAUAGCAAUGUUGGCAUUUCAGGGCUUUCAUUAUUGAUGGAUCAACGUUUCCCUACAGAAGACAUCAGAUAAAGCAAUGUGUCAUGCUCAGUCUAGUUCUGCAUGGCAAGAAUGAUUUUCAGGUCAUGAAGGUGUAAUAGUUUAUCAAGGUAAGCAAUCACCACUAUCUUCUGCUUAAUGAAGUAGAUAUUUUGUACUAUACCUGAG
rnacentral:lncRNA from 14 species